GUUGUGAGGUUAAGCGACUAAGCGUACACGGUGGAUGCCCUGGCAGUCAGAGGCGAUGAAGGGCGUGCUAAUCUGCGAUAAGCGCCGGUAAGGUGAUAUGAACCGUUAUAACCGGCGAUACCCGAAUGGGGAAACCCAGUGUGACUCGUCACACUAUCAUUAACUGAAUCCAUAGGUUAAUGAGGCGAACCGGGGGAACUGAAACAUCUAAGUACCCCGAGGAAAAGAAAUCAACCGAGAUUCCCCCAGUAGCGGCGAGCGAACGGGGAGGAGCCCAGAGCCUGAAUCAGCAUGUGUGUUAGUGGAAGCGUCUGGAAAGGCGCGCGAUACAGGGUGACAGCCCCGUACACAAAAGCGCAUGUGUUGUGAGCUCGAUGAGUAGGGCGGGACACGUGGUAUCCUGUCUGAAUAUGGGGGGACCAUCCUCCAAGGCUAAAUACUCCUGACUGACCGAUAGUGAACCAGUACCGUGAGGGAAAGGCGAAAAGAACCCCGGCGAGGGGAGUGAAAAAGAACCUGAAACCGU
rnacentral:rRNA from 1 species